GCGGGAGUUGACGUGACAAGGAUGAUAUAUUGAUACCAUUCAUGGGAAAAUACAUAGCAUCCCGAUCCACACUCCACUGAAGUAGAUGGUGGUAAUGCACAUCAUAAAGUUGCUUGCCAACCGCCAUAAAACAGAAGCAGAAGAAGAAGAAA